UACGUAGGGGGCAAGCGUUAUCCGGAUUUACUGGGUGUAAAGGGAGCGUAGACGGCAGUGCAAGUCUGGAGUGAAAGGCGGGGGCUCAACCCCCGGACUGCUCUGGAAACUGUACGGCUGGAGUGCAGGAGAGGUAAGUGGAAUUCCUAGUGUAGCGGUGAAAUGCGUAGACAUUAGGAGGAACACCAGUGGCGAAGGCGGCUUACUGGACUGUAACUGACGUUGAGGCUCGAAAGCGUGGGGAGCAAACAGG
rnacentral:rRNA from 1 species